CCAAGCUACAAAGAGCCAACGGUGAAUGCCUUGGCGCCUAUGACCGAAGAAGGACGUGGAUGACUGCGAAAAGUUACGGUGAGCCGUCUAUCAGGCUUCGACCCGUAAAUGUCCGAAUGAGGAAACUCAACACUCGUUAUUGAGUGUUAUUCCGGUGUGAAUACAUAGCACCGGUAAAGGGAACCGGGGGAAUUGAAACAUCUCAGUACCCCGAGGAAAGAAAAGCAAACGCGACUCCCCUAGUAGUGGCGAGCGAAAAGGGAACAGGCUAAACCGCAGCAACGUGACACCCUGAAGGGGUUGUUGAUGCGGUGUCGUGGGAUAUCGACGUACGGCUUCAGACGUACGACGGAGUUAACAACGUGCUGCGUAGUAGAACCAUCUGGAAAUAUGGACCACAGGGGGUAAUAGUCCCGUACACGAAACGCACGCACGCUCCGCGAUCGAUCCCAAGUAAUGGCGGGGCCGAGCAACCUGCCAUGAAUCCGUGGGGACCACCCCAUAAGCCUCAGUAUCAAUAGGCGACCGAUAGUGAACCAGUACCGCGAGGGAAAGGUGAAAAGAACCCCGGGAGGGGAGUGAAAUAGUACCUGAAACCGUUGGUUUACAAGCAGUCAGAGAGUCGUGUUGCAACCGUAGGGUUGCAUCGCCUCGAUGGCGUGCCUUUUGAAGAAUGAGCCUACGAGUUGCGGUAUGUGGCGAGGUUAACCCGAGAGGGGUAGCCGAAGCGAAAGCGAGUCUGAACAGGGCGUUCAGUCGCAUGCUGUAGACCCGAAGCCAAGUGAUCUUGCCAUGGUCAGGUUGAAGCGGGGGUAAGACCCCGUGGAGGACCGAACAGGUACCAGUUGAAAAUGGUUCUGAUGAACUGUGGUAAGGGGCGAAAGACCAAUCAAACUUGGCGAUAGCUGGUUCUCCUCGAAAUGCAUUUAGGUGCAGCGUUGCACGUUCAAUUCCGGAGGUAGAGCACUGGAUGGGCUAGAGGUCCAACAAGAUUAUCGACCCCAGCCAAACUCCGAAUUACGGAAUUCCAGAGUGCAGCAGUGAGACCAUGGGGGAUGAGCUUCAUUGGUCGAAAGGGAAACAGCCCAGAUCAUCAGCUAAGGCCCCAAAUUCAGGACUAAGUGUAAAACGAUGUGAAAUUGCUUAGACAGCCAGGAGGUUGGCUUAGAAGCAGCCACCCUUGAAAGAGUGCGUAACAGCUCACUGGUCGAGUGAUUUUGCGCGGACAAUGUAACGGGGCUCAAGUCCUGAGCCGAAGCUAUGGAUUGCAUCGACGUUCGCGUCGUUGCAGUGGUAGAGGAGCGUUGAUGGAGUGCCGAAGCGACGAGGUAACUCGGCGUGGAGUUCCAUCAAGUGAGAAUGUAGGUAUGAGUAGCGAAAGAGGGGUGAGAAACCCCUCCGCCGAAUGCCCAAGGUUUCCUGGGGAAGGCUAAUCCUCCCAGGGUAAGUCGGGAGCUAAGGAGAGGCCGCGAGGCGUAUCCGAUGCACAACUGGUUGAUAUUCCAGUCCGGGUAAGCGAGAAGGUGGGUUGCGAUGAGAGUCGCGGCCGUAACACUGAGACGCAAUACCGACCUCGUUUGAGGGAAGUCACUGAUUCCACACUGUCGAGAAAAGCGCAGUAGUGAGUUGACACGGCGCCCGUACCCCAAACCGACUCAGGUGGGCGCGUAGAGAAUACGAAGGCGAUCGGGAGAACUGUGGUUAAGGAACUCGGCAAAUUGCCUCCGUAACUUCGGGAUAAGGAGGACCCAUGAACGUCAGAGACUUCGCGUCUCGAAGCGUAUGUGGGUGUCACAAACUAGGGAGCAGCGACUGUUUAACAAAAACACAGCAGCGUGCCAAGCCGCAAGGCGAUGUAUACGCUGUGACGCCUGCCCAAUGCUGGAAGGUCACGAGGAUGAGUUAGCCGCAAGGCGAAGCUUUGAAUCUAAGCCCCAGUGAAUGGCGGCCGUAACUAUAACGGUCCUAAGGUAGCGAAAUUCCUUGUCGGGUAAGUUCCGACCUGCACGAAUGGCGUAACGCAGUUCGGUCCCUAUCUUCUACAUCCGAAGGAACUUUGAGGGAUGCUGUCUUUAGUACGAGAGGACCGAGACGGACGUAGCUCUGGUGUGCCAGUUGUACCGCCAGGUGCAUGGCUGGUUAGCCACCUACGGAAGGGAUAAACGCUGAAAGCAUCUAAGUGUGAAACCCGUCCCAAGAUAAGAGUUCCCAUGCGGUUAACGCAGUAAGGCCCGUGGCGAGACCACCACGUUGAUAGGCCGGAAGUGGAAGCGCGGCGACGCGCGGAGCUGACCGGUACUAAUCGGCCGAGGGCUUGGAUUGUGCUC
rnacentral:rRNA from 1 species